CUGCCUUCUGGGCCAGCCCCCGCCCCGCCCCUCGCCCCGCCCCCCGGCCCCGCCCCGGCCCCGCCCUGCCCUGGCUUGCUGGGCUGUCCGGAGAGGAUGGCACUUUCCCUGGGCCUCGGCUUCCGCAUCUGCCAAAGGAAGUCCGGAUUCUCCAGCACCACUGCUUUACGUGGCUGCGGUUAAAGUACGGCGGGCUGCAGCCGAGGGGCUUUGGUGGCCAUCAACAGAAACCACCGCAGGCCAGCAGCAGCCGAGGGGGUCUUCACUGGAAAACUGUCAGCCUGGCGAGGCCCGUGUGCCUGCCUGGCGGACCACGAGAAGUCUGGCCUGCGCCUCCUAGGCUGCAGGCGGUCCUCGCUUGUCCAGGCCGAGGUGCUGGUGCCACAGGAGGCCCGGCCGGGGCCACCCGGUGGGGACGCGGCUGCAGGCUGGGUAUCAGCCUGUUGUUUCCACCCAGGACCACAAGCCCGCGACCACACUCUGCGUUCAUGCCGCCCCUCUUCUGCGUGGAGCAUCUUCUACUAAGUUGUGUUUCUUGGUUGCAGUAACAGUUGACUACCGGCGACGUGGCCUCUCUUUCCGGCCUCUUGGUUCCUGGAAGGUGUGGUCACCCCCACUGAUUGCUUUCUGCCUGCCUUGCAAAGAAACGCUGGACGAGCGCCCAAGAAAUGUGAUUGCUGUUCUUUAGGGAAAGUAGCUCGGAUAUCGCUGCUCUGGGUCAUUGAGCACGAACUCGUGCUCUCCCCACCCUUCUUUGGAAUAAGUUGGGGUUCUCCGGCCGGAUCUCCACGGGGCCUGUCCCUCCUGGCUGGUUUGGCAGGUGCACAGAAGCCCCCCCUCUGGUGUGGCAUUCACCCCUUGGUGCUAGCCAUAGAAAUAAGACCCUUGGAGGGUCCUGCCGUCACAAGGCUCUGAGUCCAGAAGGGGAGACAGACGAGAAGAACCGGGUGGUCCCGACACAGGGAGGUCACACGUGCUGGGCCCGCGGGUGGCGGCACGCAGAGAGGCCCCUGCCCACGGAACACGGUGGCAAGGAGCCCUCCGAGUGGGGACAGCGCCCACAGGCGGUGUCUCAGGCCUCACGACCCAGCUGGGUGGGCUUGCCCUCGUGACCUCGGUGUCAGGUGUGGCUUCCCAGCCCCCUCGCCCAGCCCUUCGCCUUCUGUCCGGGGGGCGGUGAACGCAGGCGGCCUGGAAGCCGAGCUUUUCAUCAGAUGACUUUUAUGUCAUUUUCAAAAAACUGAUGAGCGCCUCCUGGCCGGGUCCCGGUUUGCGAAAGGAGGCUGUGAUUAGGGAUGUGAAUAAAUUGUAAUACACAGAUAA